AAACACUUCGCACAGUCUCCUGCCUGUUCUACUCCAGCCAUAUUGAUCUCCUUUCAGCUCCUGCUAUACGCCAAAUUCUUCUCUUCCCCGAGGUCAUUUCUUAUUAAGUUAGUUGUAGUUAACGUCUGCUGUGUGACAGAAAGCCGAAUAACACUGGCUUAAGUAAGAGUUUAUUCCUCUCUUACGUCAAAGUUCAAGUAGGGUUUCCAGGGAUAUGUCGCUGGGACCCAUGAUUCUCCUAUCUUCUUGUUCCACCAUGAAUGCCCUCAACCACAUUGUCCAUAGGGGUAUCUCUGACCUAGGAGCAGGAUGGAAUAAAGGACAAAGCAGAAGAGGCAAAAGGUCCGUGUACUCUUUCUCUUAAUGCUCCUAGAAGCUGUCAUAUAGUGUUUCUGUAUCUGUACUACUUGUUCAGAAUUUAACGGGAUGGCCACACUUGAAUGCAAGGAAGGCUGGGAAAUGUAUCUUUACAUUGGGUGCACAUGUCCAGCUUUAUCUUGGGUGCACAUGGCCAGCUAAAAAUUUGGGCUCAACAACUUUCUUUAAUGGUUAUCUCUUCUUCCUCUCCAUGUUGUUGUGUCUGAAUCUGCCACAUGGAAUAUAGACAAUCAUCCUACCACCUGAGAAGAAAGUGUAGAUGGACAUGGAGAGACAAUAUAAGCAUAAGCCAGAGAUGCACCAGCCCCUUCUCUCCUUCCACCAUCGCAGGUAUGUUGCUGGAUCUGGGUCCAACCUGAAAAUAUGCAGCCAUCUUACUAAUAGACCCAGCAUGAAGACAACAUGAAGGAUGGAAGGACAGAAAGAGUGAGAAAAAACAAAUCCCAAAGUGAUCCUUGAAUAAUGUAAUUAUGCUCCUGAAUCAACCAAUUUGGAGUCUGCCUUUCCUCUGGAUGUCAUAUUAUGUGAGAUAAUCAAUAUCCUAGCUAUUUAAGCUAAUUUUAUUCUCUGUAUUAUGGGAAAAAGUUGGGAAUUUCUAAAUUCUUUUAGAUUGAAAAGUUGCUGUUUGAGGUCUACUUAAGUUAACUAUCUCCAAUUGGUGAGAAGCAUGAAGAUCCCAAUAAUGGUCUGUUUAAUAAAUCCACCUUCUUACACCCACUUCUAGGAGCACACUGUGUGCUUCGUUUCUGCUCUAGGCUGUCCUUGGACAUAUAUCUUAACUGGAUUCUGUUAGGUAAUUAAGUAAGUAUUUUUGUUUAUCCACGUGUAAUGCAUAUUUCCUAUAAAAAAAUCCAAGAUAUAAUCCUCAUCACCACCCUAAACUAUUGGGGUACAAAAAUAAUGACCUCGGGCCAGCCCCAGUGGCCUAGUGGUUAAGUUUGGCUCAUUUCACUUUGGUGGCCUGGGUUCAGUUCCCGGGUGCAGACCUAUACCACUUGUCAGUGACCAUGCACACAAAAGUAAAAAAUGGAGGAAGAUUGGCACAGAUAUUAGCUCAGGGCAAAUCUUCCUCAGAAAUAAUAAGAAUAAUAAUAAUGACCUCAAAUUCAACCUUCAUACAAAAAAAUCCUUAUACAGUGUUUUAAUGUCUCCUCACAUAGCCUUUGUCUUUUUUACUUUUGACUAUCAAAUUGUUCUUACACAGACACAUACACCCCACCUACUCUCUCUCUCUCACAAACAUUCUUUUAAAUUUCAACUAUUAUCUUUGUGCUGCCUGAAUAACUUUGAAGUGAAAGGAAUUUGAACUGUUAAGUAGAUUAAAAGGUUAAUUGCCUAAUCUUGGUUUAUUUCCUGAAAAGACUAUUUUGACCUACACAAGUUCCCUGCCUGGAAGCUAGGAAUCUUUUGAAUAUACUUAAAUGAAUCAGUCUUAUCUCUAAGGUUAACUACUUUUACAUGAUGAUUCUAAUGUUCGUUCCUUGGCAACCAACAUUUUUCUAUCUUCUUAGGCUAUGCUGUUUGGAAAAUUAUGUUCUCUAAAUUUUGUCCUAUUAACAAAUAUAUUGAGAAAAUCUUUUAGAAAAUGUCAUAAGUAAUUGAAUGAAUUUAGUAGAUUGUAGUCCUGGAAAAAAAUAAAAAUAUCUGGAAAUUUAAAGAUAUUUUAGAAAAUGUUCUAUUUUCUAUUUUCAUUAAAUACAUAUGGUGAAAAAGUGGCCCUUCAAAGGCGUUAGAAAAACACUUCGUUUGCAAUAUCUUGCAUAACAAAAACCUUUGCUAUGUCCCAGUAUAAUUCUCUAAAGUGCUGGUGAAAAAUUGCAAUUAUUCUGGGCAUAUGUUAACAUUUAAGCAUCUCACAUUCAGUAAUG
rnacentral:lncRNA from 1 species